GAUGAACGCUGGCGGCGUGCUUAACACAUGCAAGUCGAACGAAGCGCUUAAAACGGAUUUCUUCGGAUUGAAGUUUUUGUGACUGAGUGGCGGACGGGUGAGUAACGCGUAGGCAACCUGCCCUUUGCAGAGGGAUAGCCAUUGGAAACGAUGAUUAAAACCUCAUAAUGCCAGACUGAGACAUCUCUAACUGGCCAAAGAUUUAUCGGCAAAGGAUGGGCCUGCGUCUGAUUAGCUAGUUGGUGGGGUAACGGCCUACCAAGGCGACGAUCAGUAGCCGACCUGAGAGGGUGAUCGGCCACAUUGGAACUGAGAAACGGUCCAAACUCCUACGGGAGGCAGCAGUGGGGAAUAUUGGGCAAUGGGCGCAAGCCUGACCCAGCAACGCCGCGUGAAGGAAGAAGGUCUUCGGAUUGUAAACUUCUGAUCUGUGGAAAAAAGAAGUGAUGGUACCACAGGAGCAAGCCACGGCUAAACUACGUG
rnacentral:rRNA from 1 species